CCGUACAUGAAAACUAACCAUUGAUGAAAACGAGUAAGGCGGGACACGUGACAUCCUGUUUGAAUAUGGGGGGACCAUCCUCCAAGGCUAAAUACUCCUGACUGACCGAUAGUGAACCAGUACCGUGAGGGAAAGGCGAAAAGAACCCCUGUGAGGGGAGUGAAAUAGAACCUGAAACCGUAUACGUACAAGCAGUGGGAGCGGUUCUUGAGACCGUGACUGCGUACCUUUUGUAUAAUGGGUCAGCGACUUACAUUUUGUAGCGAGGUUAAGCGAAUAGCGGAGCCGUAGGGAAACCGAGUGUUAACUGCGCGUUUAGUUGCAAGGUGUAGACCCGAAACCCGGUGAUCUAGCCAUGGGCAGGUUGAAGGUUGAGUAACAUCAACUGGAGGACCGAACCGACUAAUGUUGAAAAAUUAGCGGAUGACUUGUGGCUGGGGGUGAAAGGCCAAUCAAACCGGGAGAUAUCUGGUUCUCCUCGAAAGCUAUUUAGGUAGCGCCUCGAGCGAAUACCAUUGGGGGUAGAGCACUGUUAAGGCUAGGGGGUCAUCCCGACUUACCAACCCUUUGCAAACUCCGAAUACCAAUGAGUACUACUCGGGAGACAGACGGCGGGUGCUAACGUCCGUCGUCAAAAGGGAAACAACCCAGACCGUCAGCUAAGGUCCCAAAGUACUAGCUAAGUGGGAAACGAUGUGGGAAGGCUUAGACAGCUAGGAUGUUGGCUUAGAAGCAGCCAUCAUUUAAAGAAAGCGUAAUAGCUCACUAGUCGAGUCGGCCUGCGCGGAAGAUGUAACGGGGCUAAGCUAGUCACCGAAGCUACGGGUGCACAGUUUACUGUGCGCGGUAGAGGAGCGUUCUGUAAGCCGUUGAAGGUGAAGGGGUAACCCACGCUGGAGGUAUCAGAAGUGCGAAUGCUGACAUGAGUAACGAUAAAGGGGGUGAAAAACCCCCUCGCCGAAAGACCAAGGGUUCCUGUCCAACGUUAAUCGGGGCAGGGUGAGUCGACCCCUAAGGUGAGGCCGAAAGGCGUAAUCGAUGGGAAACAGAUUAAUAUUUCUGUACUUCCGCUAACUGCGAUGGAGAGACGGAGAAGGCUAGGCUAGCGCGGCGUUGGUAG
rnacentral:rRNA from 3 species